rnacentral:rRNA from 1 species
GGGUUGUGAGGUUAAGCGACUAAGCGUACACGGUGGAUGCCCUGGCAGUCAGAGGCGAUGAAGGACGUGCUAAUCUGCGAAAAGCGUCGGUAAGGUGAUAUGAACCGUUACAGCCGGCGAUGUCCGAAUGGGGAAACCCAGUGCAAUUCGUUGCACUAUCGUUAACUGAAUACAUAGGUUAACGAGGCGAACCGGGGGAACUGAAACAUCUAAGUACCCCGAGGAAAAGAAAUCAACCGAGAUUCCCCCAGUAGCGGCGAGCGAACGGGGAGCAGCCCGGAGUCUGAAUCAGCUUGUGUGUUAGUGGAAGCGUCUGGAAAGUCGCAGGGUACAGGGUGAUACUCCCGUACACUAAAGCACACAGGCUGUGAACUCGAAGAGUAGGGCGGGACACGUGGUAUCCUGUCUGAAUAUGGGGGGACCAUCCUCCAAGGCUAAAUACUCCUGACUGACCGAUAGUGAACCAGUACCGUGAGGGAAAGGCGAAAAGAACCCCGGCGAGGGGAGUGAAAAAGAACCUGAAACCGUGUACGUACAAGCAGUAGGAGCCCCACCACCAAAGCGUUUCGCUUUGCGUGGUGCGCAAAAUGCGUAACGACAGCAUGAUGGACGGUUAACGGAGCGUAAGCGACGUUCAACAUCCAGAAUCAGGCAGUGGAGCGUUUUGGGGUGGGGUGACUGCGUACCUUUUGUAUAAUGGGUCAGCGACUUAUAUUCUGUAGCAAGGUUAACCGUAUAGGGGAGCCGCAGGGAAACCGAGUCUUAACUGGGCGUUAAGUUGCAGGGUAUAGACCCGAAACCCGGUGAUCUAGCCAUGGGCAGGUUGAAGGUUGGGUAACACUAACUGGAGGACCGAACCGACUAAUGUUGAAAAAUUAGCGGAUGACUUGUGGCUGGGGGUGAAAGGCCAAUCAAACCGGGAGAUAGCUGGUUCUCCCCGAAAGCUAUUUAGGUAGCGCCUCGUGAACUCAUCUUCGGGGGUAGAGCACUGUUUCGGCUAGGGGGUCAUCCCGACUUACCAACCCGAUGCAAACUACGAAUACCGAAGAAUGUUAUCACGGGAGACACACGGCGGGUGCUAACGUCCGUCGUGAAGAGGGAAACAACCCAGACCGCCAGCUAAGGUCCCAAAGUCAUGGUUAAGUGGGAAACGAUGUGGGAAGGCCCAGACAGCCAGGAUGUUGGCUUAGAAGCAGCCAUCAUUUAAAGAAAGCGUAAUAGCUCACUGGUCGAGUCGGCCUGCGCGGAAGAUGUAACGGGGCUAAACCAUGCACCGAAGCUGCGGCAGCGACACUAUGUGUUGUUGGGUAGGGGAGCGUUCUGUAAGCCGUUGAAGGUGGCCUGUGAGGGUUGCUGGAGGUAUCAGAAGUGCGAAUGCUGACAUAAGUAACGAUAAUGCGGGUGAAAAACCCGCACGCCGGAAGACCAAGGGUUCCUGUCCAACGUUAAUCGGGGCAGGGUGAGUCGACCCCUAAGGCGAGGCCGAAAGGCGUAGUCGAUGGGAAACAGGUUAAUAUUCCUGUACUCGGUGUUACUGCGAAGGGGGGACGGAGAAGGCUAUGUUGGCCGGGCGACGGUUGUCCCGGUUUAAGCAUGUAGGCGGAUGUUCCAGGUAAAUCCGGAACGUUAUUAACGCUGAGGUGUGAUGACGAGGCACUACGGUGCUGAAGUGACAAAUGCCCUGCUUCCAGGAAAAGCCUCUAAGCAUCAGGUAACAUCAAAUCGUACCCCAAACCGACACAGGUGGUCAGGUAGAGAAUACCAAGGCGCUUGAGAGAACUCGGGUGAAGGAACUAGGCAAAAUGGUGCCGUAACUUCGGGAGAAGGCACGCUGAUGGUA